rnacentral:rRNA from 1 species
CCUACGAGAGGCAGCAGUGAGGAAUAUUGGUCAAUGGGCGCGAGCCUGAACCAGCCCAGUAGCGUGAAGGAUGACUGCCCUACGGGUUGUAAACUUCUUUUAUAAAAGAAUAAAGUGAGGCACGUGUGCCUUUUUGUAUGUACUUUAUUAAUAAGGAUCGGCUAACUCCGUGCCAGCAGCCGCGGUAAGACGGAGGAUCCGAGCGUUCGCCGGAUUUAUUGGGGUUAAAGGGAGCGUAGAUGGGUUGUUAAGUCAGUUGUGAAAGUUUGCGGCUCAACCGUAAAAUUGCAAUUGAUACUGGCAGUCUUGAGUACAGUUGAGGUAGGCGGAAUUCGUGGUGUAGCGGUGAAAUGCUUAGAUAUCACGAAGAACUCCGAUUGCGAAGGCAGCUUACUAAACUGCCACUGACAUUGAUGCUCGAAAGUGUGGGUAUCAAACAGGAUUAGAUACCCUGGUAGUC